rnacentral:lncRNA from 1 species
UGCAUUUCUCAAUACAGAGGCCGAGGGUUAUCCUCCCUUUCUGAACAAAGAAGAUGAACAAAGAAAUAACCCUUUACGUACACAUUAACCCACUACAUGGCCCCAUAUUGCUAGAAAUUUCGUUCCCAACACCUCCUGUUCUCAAAGCUCUAUCGUCUCAUCAUCCAUAAUGUUAAGCACAUAUGCUUAUGAUUCUCUGUCAGGAUGAAAAUGGGAAUAGUUUGUUCAUGUAAUUCAUCGCUAUCAAUGUGAAGAUAUGAAACGAGUAACAAGAAGAGAAAAACAAUGAGCAUCAUUUCGAACGCCCGACAUUGCUCAAAACUGUACACAAAUUAAAGGAUAAAGUCUAUUUUAAACCUUGAACUUGUAGGGGUAGUCUAAAUUGAUCCCCAACCUUCCUAUCCUUGAAUAUGGCACCAUAAAACUUGCCGACCUUGGUCCAUCCCCGGUCGUUAGUUGUCAAAAUGUUGAGCAUGGGAUUGCUGGAGUCUUGAGACUGAUCAUCGGAUGUGUAGUAAAUGGAAAGAAGAAGAUGGAAGAAGAAAGAACCCUUCACAUACGCAUUAACCCACUGCAUGGCCCUAUAUUGCUAGAAAUUUCCUUCCCGACACCUUCUCUUCUCAAAGCUUCAUUGUCUCCUUAUCCAUAAUGUUAACCAUAUAUGCUUAUGCUUCUCUCUCAGGAUGAAAUUGGGAAUAGUUCGUUCAUGUAGCUCAUUGCAUUCAAGGUAGAGUACAUUGACUUUGACAGCCAUGAAAGUAAUGUGAGAAAAUUGAGAAUGAGAGAAAAUUCACAUCUGUAUCUAUAUAUGUAUGUGUGUGUGUAUUUGUUUUGACUACCAAAUUAAAGUAAGUGUAGUACGUGUCCUGAUCAAGAGACAAAAUUAAUGCUAUAAUCAAGAACCCCAUAUGUGUUGACAGGAGAUGGGU